CCCUUGGUAGUUCAGUCAGUUGAGCAUGAGACUCUUCAUCUCAGGGACAUGGGUUCGAGUUCCAUGUUGGGCA